UGUGUGUGUGUGUGUGUGUAUGUAUGUAUAUGUGUAUAUGUGUGUAUAUAUAUAUAUAUACACACACACACACACACC